rnacentral:misc_RNA from 1 species
CAAAUCUUUACGAAUGUUAGGCAAAUUUGUCGGCACCUCAAUUACUGGCACCUGAAACAUCUUCAAGAAUUCUUUUUCCUCAGUUUUUGCAGUGCCAGUCAUCCCUGAGAGCCUUGGAUAAAGCUUAAAUAGAGAUUGAUAUGUAAUUUGUGCCACGACAACUGAAUCAGCCUGAAUUUUAACACCUUCUUUAGCCUCCACGGCCUGAUGGAUUCCGUCAGACCAUCGCCUUUUCUCUUCCACUCUUCCAGUCAACUCAUUAAUUAUAAGAGCCUUCCCAUUUCUAACAAUGUAUUGGACAUCACGCUUGUAAAACUCCUUGGCUUUUAACGCAUUAAAUACAAAUCUAGCCCAUGGAUCAUUCUCAUCCCACAAGUCACUUGUUUCUAGGGCCAUCUCAGCGAGUG